rnacentral:sRNA from 1 species
GACAAUGGAACACCCAAAUGCAUUGUGAAACUGUGAUAAAUCUGGUUUGGCUAAAAACACACAACACAACAGAGAGAUCAAACGAGAUGAGGCGGCAACUAGAAAUAAGGCCUAUUUCCAAAGCCGUAACAAUUUCCAACAAAUAAAAUGUUUAUCAUUUGUUUUGUGACAUGCACAACGGGGUGUGCGAAUUACAGUCGAGCCCUGGACACAGCCCUGACUGCCCUCGUCCUGUCGUCCCUUUGCGGCUGAGCCUGAUAAUGACAUUACCCAGCGGCCAAGCACUGCAUGACGUCACAGCGCUGCCACACCAGGUCACAAACAUAAAGCGACAAAUUGACGCAAACAUUUAACACACACAUUGCCCCGCCCCUCCCCAACAAGGAUCGCAGAACGCAAUGCUCAGGACAUGGUCAACAGGGCUAUAGAAGGGCCUGCAGCAGGGCGUUGGCGGCUUCUCUUGAUGGUGGAACACCUACGAAAAAAUUCCUUUGAAUUACGUUGUUGCAGCGCCUGCCAGCCUGCCUGCUUGCAUGUAUGUGUGUCGGUUUUUUUUUUUUUUUUUUUUGUUAAGCCCUGAGCUAUGCGCAAAAAAGGACAUCUUCGCUGGCUGUGCACUCCAUUAUGCAUUUUAUGUGCGCCCUCAUUCAGUGUCUGUUGACAUUUUUAUUCCAAGCAGUUAAGCAAUAUUUCCAUUAACGUGUGGUCGGAUCGGAGUCCAACAAUCUAUAAAUGAGACCUCAAGCUUUAACUCUAUCCUGUUUUCUAUGCUAAUUCGCUGUUAAUUGAUGCACAAACAUUUCGGUAUUUAUUGUUGUUGGCUAGUCGCAGUGGGCAGGACUUGAAGGCACCUUGAAUGGAGGGCUCAUUUAAUUGAAUCAAAAUAUUUUUGCACGCACCAAUUCAAUUUACAUUGUUUAUAUGGAGCAGGAGCCAGAGUGAUUGCCGCAGGACCUGUCGCUGUGAGUCCUGGCUGCUGCUGCUGCUACUGCUGCUACUACGGUUUGCUUAAUUAUAGGGCCAAAAGGCAAAGCGACGUCUGCUACUUGCUAGGUAAUCAGCCUUUCAGUCGUUUUGGCUACCGUAUUAAAAGGACGAACGCUUGAUGAUGAUUGAUUAGGCGCUGGGUAAGACAAGCCAACCAAGCCAAGCCUAGCCGAGUCAAUCACCGAUGAGCUUCUUAUGUAGGCCAAGCAUCUUUUGCAUCUGCUCAGCUGCGACAACUGUGCAAAUGCAGCGCGUGGCUAAGAGACCCACAGAGCGGGGCAGCUGUAGCUCUAGCUGUAGCUGAAGCUAAACAACAAAUCGAAAACUGAUUUGGAGCGGAAGUUCGUUUGCACCUUUCAGCAGUUUCCUGUGUGUGCAAAGCAACAACAGCGACAACCACAACAACAACAGCAACAACUAUACAAACGCUCACAUCUGUACAUAUGUACAUAGUAGUAUGUUUGUAUAUAGCACACGCAUGUCAAGACUUCAUUUGUAAUUUGCGCUACUUCGACGUUUGGCCUUUGACGCCGCAUUCCUUUGUCUUGGAACUGAACGCAACGGAACGGGGCGGGGCGAGCGCGCGAUAUAUUCGCAAAUCAAAAGCUAUAUAGAUUAAGAUUGCCCUCCUGUGUAUAUAUAGGGAAACGCAAAGGAUCUGGGCAUAUAUAUGCAAAGCGCUGCCAAGGAGCAGCUGUCGCCGUUGUUUGAUUUGCGAUUGCGACGCUGGCGGAAAUGGAAUGACACGCAAGGCACAAAGGCAGCCCGACAGCCCAGCCCUA